GAAACAGUGGCUAAGACUGGAUAGGAAGAAAUAAGGCAUCUUAUUUCUUUUAAAAGACCUAGUAAUAGGUAUACUUUAGGAGGGGCUUGCGCCAUAUUAGUUAGUUGGUAGGUAAUGGCCUACCAAGACGAUGAUGUGUAGCUGGACUGAGAGGUUGAACAGCCACAUUGGGACUGAGACACGGCCCAAACUCCUACGGGAGGCAGCAGUAAGGAAUUUUCGGCAAUGGAGGAAACUCUGACCGAGCAACGCCGCGUGAACGACGAAGUACUUUGGUAUGUAAAGUUCUUUUAUCAAGGAAGAAAAGCAAGUGGCGAACCAUUUGUUUGCCGGUACUUGAUGAAUAAGCCCCGGCUAAUUAUGUGCCAGCAGCCGCGGUAAGACAUAAGGGGCAAGUGUUAUCCGGAAUUAUUGGGCGUAAAGGGUGCGUAGGCGGUCUAGUAAGUCAGUGGUGUAAUGGCAACGCUCAACGUUGUCCGGCUAUUGAAACUGCUAAACUUGAGUUAGAUAGAGGCGAGUGGAAUUCCAUGUGUAGCGGUAAAAUGCGUAAAUAUAUGGAGGAACACCAGAGGCGUAGGCGGCUCGCUGGGUCUUAACUGACGCUGAGGCACGAAAGCGUGGGGAGCAAACAGGAUUAGAUACCCUGGUAGUCCACGCCGUAAACGAUGAGUACUAAGUGUCGGGUUAAACCGGUACUGAAGUUAACACAUUAAGUACUCCGCCUGAGUAGUACGUACGCAAGUAUGAAACUUAAAGGAAUUGACGGGACUCCGCACAAGCGGUGGAUCAUGUUGUUUAAUUCGAAGAUACCCGAAAAACCUUACCAGGUCUUGACAUGUUUUUGCGAAACGGUAGUAAUAUCGUAGAGGUUAUCAGAAACACAGGUGGUGCAUGGUUGUCGUCAGCUCGUGUCGUGAGAUGUUAGGUUAAGUCCUAAAACGAGCGAAACCCUUAUCGUUAGUUGCCAGCACGUUAUGGUGGGGACUUUAACGAGACUGCCAGUGAUAAACUGGAGGAAGGUGAGGAUCACGUCAAAUCAGCAUGCCCCUUAUGACCUGGGCUACAAACGUGAUACAAUGGCUGUUACAAAGGGUAGCUGAAACGUAAGUUCUUGGCCAAUCCCCAAAAACAGUCUCAGUCCGGAUUGAAGUCUGCAACUCGACUUCAUGAAGUUGGAAUCGCUAGUAAUCGCGAAUCAGCAUGUCGCGGUGAAUACGUUCUCGGGGUUUGUACACACCGCCCGUCA
rnacentral:rRNA from 4 species